rnacentral:rRNA from 1 species
GGGUCAGUAGGUUGGUCGUGCCACCGGUACGUACUGGUCUCACUGAUUCCUCCUUCCUGAAGAACCGUAAUGCCAUUAAUUUGGUGUUGCGGGAAAACAGGACUGUCACUUUGAAAAAAUUAGAGUGUUUAAAGCAAGCUAACGCUUGAAUACAUUAGCAUGGAAUAAUGAAAUAGGACGAUCGAUCCUAUUUUGUUGGUUUCUAGGAUUGACGUA